rnacentral:siRNA from 1 species
ACGUGACUAUUGGUGCACAAUGCC